UGAUAAGCCGGAGGAAGGUGGGGAUGACGUCAAGUCCUCAUGGCCCUUACGCGCUGGGCUACACACGUGCUACAAUGGCAGGUACAGUGGGCAGCAAUCCCGCGAGGGUGAGCUAAUCUCCAAAACCUGUCUCAGUUCGGAUUGUUCUCUGCAACUCGAGAGCAUGAAGGCGGAAUCGCUAGUAAUCGCGGAUCAGCAUGCCGCGGU
rnacentral:rRNA from 1 species